UUGUGCUGGGAGCUCCCAGCUCCCUAGUGAGAACUUUUUUCUUAUAUUUAUGGAGGAAAAGGAGUAAUUUCUUUCUAUCAAAAAUGAAUGAAAACCUGAAAAAUCUCUACCAGGGAAAAGAUACUGCUGAGUUUCUCACUAAAGGAAAAUGUCCUGGAGGACGCCAAGGGCAGGACUUUUCACUGCAGCAGCUGAGCAACACCAUCAUCCUCCUGACACUGGCAUCCCACAGCCCUGGUCUCAUGGACCAUUCCCAGGGUUUUCCUCAGCCCUAGACCAGGAGCCACCCACUGCUGCAGGGGAGGAGAUUGAACCUGCUGCCCAUGGUCAUACCCCUGAAUGUGACUUCAGCCAGGACUCAGCCACACUCCUCUGCUGCACCUGGGCUGUCCACUGUCCCCAGGAGCCAUCACACCCAGCAGAUGUCACAGGCUGGUGGCACCUGCCGAAAAACCCGUCCUGGGCUGAGCCAGGAACCCUGGCAGUGCUCAGUGCAGGGGGAGCAGGGAGGGGCAGCCCCCAGGUUCCUUCUGUGGGAAUUCCCUGCCUGGGCCCACCUUCCCAGCCCUCACCACAAACUGGCAGGGACACCUCAGUGAGGGGGACCAGCAGGUUUA